UCUUGGUGCUGCAGGAAAGCCGUUUGAGAUAUUGGUGGAAUUCAAACACUUUGUGAGGUAAGUUCGUUUAUUUUCAAUGUUUCGUUAAUAAUUUCAAGACAAUGCCAAAUAUACAGUGAAUAACGAAACAGUUUCUUGUUCAGGAUGGUAAUUUGCAAUGAAUUUGUCUUCAGACCAUACCUCCGCUAACAGGCCACUAUUAUAACUACCGGUAUGCUAACUUAGCCCUAGGUUGUUUUCACAACUUUGUUGGAAAGUUUGUGUUUUGUUAGAAACAAACUCUACGAAAUUUACAAUAUAGAUUUGCUCCGAAAGAGCUAUAAAACUUGUCCAGUGGUGCCAAAACACCCAUGUCAGAGUCAAGACCUAGCUAAAUGUCCGCUAGCAACAUAGCUAUCAGUGGUUUCUGGAGGAGGGCCGAAGGGAGUGCUUCCCCGCCGGCCAGAGAUUGUUUGCGCCGGCCUCUUCACCUGAAAGAGCUAGCGCUGCAUGAUGAGGUGGUUCGCUAGCAACAAUUAGCUAUCUAACGGUUAAAUCAUGUUGCCUUUGUUGAGGGAUGUUUGAAAUAGCCCGAUGUAUUCAUAACUGAAUAUUGGUUUCUUGUUAGAAACGAACACAUUUUGGAUAUAAUUUUGUUCUGAAGUUACAACAUGCCAAGUUAGUGUUGUAAGACUGUUGGCGCCAAAGUUAAGAGCUAGCUAAAUGUCCGCUAGCAACAUUAGAGCUAGCCAAACUGAAUAAUGAAUCUCUUGUCCGCUAGCAACAUUAGCUAGCUAAAGUCUUUUUUUUGUUAGAAACGAACUCCCUUUGAGUAUAAUUAUGCUCUGAAGAUAUCCAGUUACUGUACUUGAGCCAAAGUAAAACACAAAUACCAGAGAGAAGAGCUAGCUAGAAGUUCGUUAGCAACAUCAGCUUAUCUUUUAGCUGACUCAGAAGCUUGAAGUAGCCACAACUUAUGCCUGAUUUUUAUUGUUAGAAACGAACUCAUUUUGACUCUACACUUGCUCUGAAGUAUGUUUUAACACAUGUGCCUUUCCCUGUUCGUUGUGUAAAGGAAGUGAGUAAGCAAACUGAUUCUGAACUUGUUAUUGUGCACACAGUGUGCUGUUUUGUCCCAUUCUGUUACUGCCAACUCUGUGGGCUGUUCUCUCUGUUCAGGGAGAAACCACUGUCAGCCAUCAGAUCGUGUUCUUUUCAAUAAAUAGGCAUUACCUAUUUGACAGAUUUCUCCUGAAAUAAUGAGCCCAGAAACACCCAGAUGUGUAGAGUGCUUAAUUUUUGGCUUGAUCAAAGAUGCUUAAUUUGUAUGGUUACUGCAAUAAAUAUUUAGAUUUCUUUGCCCAUCCUUUUUGGAUCUACUAGUAGGCCUAGUGAUUUUAGAGGUCUUAACAAGUGGGCUAUGCAUCAGAUUUCAUUUCAAGUGAUGGGUAAAAUAUCCAGAAAGAUAUAUAAUCUGUUCUUUUUGCCCUCUAGUUUAGCACACUGAAUUCUUUGAGCCAUCUGGUGUCAAUCCGUGUGGGAAAAUGAUCAAUGAAAACAAUUUAAGAAAUGUAUCUUAUAGAUGUUUCAUAUUGUAGGCCUAUUCAGCCUAUUGUGUCAUGGUGGUGUUAUCAUUUUUCAAACUUUAUUUUUGUGUAAUAAUUAGGCAUAUUGAUACAUAAUCAUGUUCAUGUUCUGUGCUGUCUUGCUUUGCAGAUGACAGAAUAUUGCUGAAGGAUCCUACAUGGAAGCUGGCUGAUUACAUGGAGUGAUUCCUCUGGUGUGGUGUACCUCAGAGAAAUAAACACUGUUGCAAGAGCUGAGAAGAUGGCCAAGAUAUCCUUAUUGCUGGAUGGUAGCUCUGGUCGUAGUGGACCAUAUCUGCAAAUGCUUCUGAACAUUGACAGAAUUUCUAAAGCUCAGAAGAUAUCCUUAUUGCUGGAUGGUUGCUCUCUGGUCGUACUUGAGCCCCCUGGACCAUGUCUGCAAAUGCUUCUGAACAUUGACAGAAUUUCUAAAGGAUCGCUGAGGACUCCCCCUCCAUGCGUGACAUCUUUGAGAAAUUUCCACGCUUUCUGGAGAUGCCAAGUUUGACUGGAACCAACUUUGCAUCCCUCGGCACUGACACUGAGAAGGUUUCAAGGACCCCACUACUAGGAGGCGAGAGUUUGACACGGCAGUGUCAUCACUGCCAUGGAUGACAAUGUAACCAAUCCUGUUGCUGAUUGCCUGACUUGCGCAGUGACAAGCUUUUCAUGCUCUACUGGGUGUGUAACUUGGCAUAUCCACCACAGUUUAACUCUGUUUUUGCCUCUUUUGAAUAUGUGUACGAUAUAACCAUCUCAACCAAAAAGUGGGCCAAGGUACUGGAACAUUUCUCACUUCAAGUUGCUCUGUAGUCACUGGACAUUUUUUAAAACAUCUACGCAAACACCACCACUCCACACCAUGUGUAUUUUAAUUACUUCUGAUUCCACUGACAUGCAGACUACAUCCUAUGCAGAUUCAGGUAAUUUACCUGGUACUGGAGAAACAGCAUUGUAUGCCAUUCUAAGUGAUACUUGCCUCCUUGUUUUGCAAAAAUGUACUGUUCUUUGAAUAUAACUUAAAGUAAGAUCAUGUUGACUCUGAGGUUUUCUCCGGUUGUCAAGCACAACCUUAACGUUUUGUAAGUAAGUAAUAGUCACAGGAUAUGCAUGCAUUUGUAAUUUGAAUUUUCGUCGAAAACGGCUCACCAAGCAUAAAAUGUUACCUCUGCUUUUGAUUUUUCUUUUUCUUUUUUAAAUGUCCCUUAAUACCAGCCUGUCUUUUUGUUGUGUCCACACAACUUUACCAUCAUCAGUGUUGGGAAGGAACAGAUUGCUGUAAGUUACUAUAUCCCCAUCCUUUCAGAUCAGUGCUUUAAAGCCUUUUGAAAUUAAAUUGUUAAUAAACUUUGUGAAAACAAACUCAAAUCUUGGUUAUUGGUUAUGAUUGAUAUAGCUUUGAAACUGUUAAUUUGGAGUGAAGUAAUUGCAGUGUCCAUCUAACCAAGCAAAUCGGUUAAAAUUUUAACCAAUAUCUGUGUCGGACACAUAUUAAUCGAACAAAUUGGUCAAAACAACCAUUGGGGGAUUGGUACAUUUUUGACUUAUAAAGAUUGGUUAAACAUAACCAAUCUAUUGGUCAAAACAACCGAUUUGGAAUUGGUUAGUUUUUUAACCGAUCUAGAUUGGUUGAAAUUUUAACUGAAGUCUAAUCGGUUAUUUUGACUAAUAUUUUUCUCGGACACAUAUUAAUCGAACAGAUCGGUUAAAAACUACUAAUUUUUUGUUUAUUUUAACCAAUCUUUUUUAAG